AAGCUACUGUUUCUUCAUUAAUUACGCUUGCCAUGAUUAGUUUUUUUUUUCCUCCUAUAGUUUUCAUAAAUAGCCCAAAAUUACUGACUUUUAUGAGAUAAAGAUCGUAUUUUUUUAUUUCUUAGGGUUUAAUACCCUCAAAUAAUAUUUAGUGAAAUUAACAGAACUAUUAUAGAUGGUAGCAUGAAAAAAUGUUCCGUUUGGAAUAUAAUGUUACUUUGUUCGUAUGUCAUGCUUUUUUUUGUGAAUGGAUGUUUUAAAUAAUAUUUUUAAACAGUUGUUUUGUACAAUAAAGUUUUUUAACGUGAUUUAUAAUAUAAAAAAAAAACAUCCCAUACUUGUCUACUUUCUUGUAGCUAACCAGAGCUGCUUACUUUCUCCAUAGUCCCGGUUUUUAAUGGAUCUCAAAGAAAUUUUGAUUCUUCACUUGAAUGUGAGUUUUUUAAUCAAAUUUGUCGGUGUUCUUGGAGUCUCCUCGUGUCGUUUUGCAUUCCUAUCUCGCCAUAUAAGACUUUUCUGCCCAUACAUAUUAGAUCAGGAAUGACUCUGUUUUGUUGUGCUUACUUGCUGAAACUAAAGAUAACAAACUCUGUCAAUCAACCACCUCACGACCAUUUAACAGACUUAUAGAAAGAUUUAGCAAAAUUUCUCUUGAGAAAACACCAGAGAUCAAAAUAUACAUAUUGUAGAGGUUAGAGAUCAAAUUAUCAUCUUACUAAUUUAAUUUAAUGUUUGAUAUAUGUCGUGUUCUUUUCGAAUUUGCAUUUAUGAAAAAAACAGUAUGUGAUUUGGUCAUUUUAUUUUUAAUUGAGUCUGACAGCGUCUUGUAUUUAAUAAAUCUUUAUAUAUAAAGUAAGGUUUAAUCUCUCCUUAGGCCAUCCACGUCUCUUGCCCCUACGUUUGACACGUGUCCUAUCAGAGUGAAACGCAUCGUAUCAUUUAUUCAGAGAUAUUCUGGAUUUUAAUCGUUGCCCAAUGCGGCCCAAAUAAACAGAGUUUGUCCCUAACCCUAAUUCUAAUGACGCAAGUUCGUCUCUUCUCCUCUUCUUCAAUGUGCCGACACGGUAAACCGACCAUGGAGUUUGUUGGAGGUGAUGGGAGACGAGUUUUUACGGCUGAUCUAUGUGGCGUUAAUCUGUUCAUAUCCUUUAGAAUGGAUUUGACUUCAACCCGUCGCUGUAGCACCACCGCCGUCUGCUCAGAUUUUGGGAGGCCAAGAAUGUGAAUAGAAGCGGCGAGCUUAUGGAGGUCGAAACGCUUCUUCUUGACGCUCAGCUUAAAAGAGAAGCAUCGAAUAUUAUCAUAAGAGUGGUAGUUCGUAAAAUUUUGCUGUCACGAAAGAUGAAGAACAUAGAGUUCUGACAUGUAAGACGCCACACAGAAACUAUUACUUUGUUUAGAUCCCUGAGGAAGCUAGAGAGCUUGAAAAGCAACUCAGAGAGACCACUAAGGAGAAGAAUGAAGCUGUAUGAGAGUUCGACUUUGGGAAGGUGUAUCAGAUAUGGUGGUUGAAACAUUUGAUAUUGUGCAGGCACAUUCACAAGCCGUGGAUUCAGCAAGGUCCAAAUGGCUGUACAAGAUCUACGCGAGAGCGCAUCCACCAGAACAACCACCCUACACAGCAUGAGAUGUCAACGAUGUAAGAUUCAACUUCUUCCAUUAAAGCCGAGAGAACUUCACAUGGUGAAAACAGAAUCGAACUAUCACCAGGACACUUCAGCGGUUGAGAGUGGGAAGAAGACGAUGCAAGAAGUCCUCUUGAAUUGCUUGGAGAAGGCAGAGAGUGCCCAUCAAUGGAGGAAAGCUCAAGAAUCACUGGUCAGUCUAGAACGGAACAAUGUAGCUUCUGUUGACUCAAUCGUUAGAGUAGGAAUGGACGCCAAUGAGAACCUACGCUCUCAGUUCUAUCAUCAUCUCUUGAUGUUUUUAAUCUGCUAACGCCAGCCUUCUUACUUCCAUUGACAAUCCGUUGAAACUCAAUAAUGAUGCAUGCGCUAAGAUCAACUCCAUGAUCAUCCCGUGCUACGAAGACUUGAUUGAGCUCAAGAGUGAUCACAAUCACAAGAUCGUAGAGAUCACAGACAACACAGGGAAAUGUCUUCUUGAUGAAUAUAUAGUAGAUGAACCUUCGUGUUCAACGGCUGAGGAAAAGAGCAAUCGAGAUACUGAGUAUUGAGUCCAUUGAGGAAUUUCGAGCUCCAGCAUCUGAGGAGUUACUGAGAGCGUUUCAAGAUGGGAAACUGUUUAAACAGGCAAAUGGUGAUGCAAAGCAGCAGCAACAACACCUUAUACGUGCUUCCUCUCUUUAUGAAGCAGCUGUGUCGGACUCGAGAUCUCCCCUCUCUGCUGUAAACUGACACGCCAAGAGGAUUGGUUUUACAGAAGCACAAGAGAAGAAGGUUAUUAUUGUUGCACUACAGGUAAAAAAGUAUCUUAUUUUCUUCAUGGAGGUUUGGUUUGAGGAAUUUAUAAAAGCAUACAUUUUUCAUUAUAUUUUUAUUUGUUUAUUAGCUGGAACCAAAGCAAAAUUAUUUCUGAAUCAGUAAGAUUAUGAGUCGUGUCAAUUAUAAUUACAAGCAAGUCCGUUAGGUUUUA